rnacentral:rRNA from 1 species
UCGGGAAUAUUGCGCAAUGGAGGAAACUCUGACGCAGUGACGCCGCGUAUAGGAAGAAGUAUUUCGGUAUGUAAAGCUCUAUCAGCAGGGAAGAAAAUGACGGUACCUGACUAAGAAGCCCCGGCUAACUACGUGCCAGCAGCCGCGGUAAUACGUAGGGGGCAAGCGUUAUCCGGAUUUACUGGGUGUAAAGGGAGCGCAGGCGGCGAAGCAAGCCAGAGGUGAAAACCCGGGGCUCAACCCCGAGGAUUGCCUUUGGAACUGUUUUGCUUGAGUGCUGGAGGGGCAGGCGGAAUUCCUGGUGUAGCGGUGAAAUGCGUAGAUAUCAGGAGGAACACCGGUGGCGAAGGCGGCCUGCUGGACAGUAACUGACGCUGAGGCUCGAAAGCGUGGGGAGCAAACAGGAUUAGAUACCCUGGUAGU